AGUGGAGAACACAACACCGGAAGACACCGUAUAUGGGCAAAAGCCUAUAAGAUAAACAUAAAUGUCCUUACGGUCACUCAAAACGUCGUAGGCUUCCCCCAGUAGCACAGACUUCCCACUCUCCAGACACUUCGUCCACCUCUUCCCGGGGGGAUCCCGAGGCGUUCCCAGGCCAGCCAAGAGACAUAGUCUUCCCAAGGUGUCCUGGGUCUUCCCCGUGGCCUCCUGCCGGUCGGACAUGCCCUAAACACCUCCCCAAGGAGGGUGUCGGGUGGCAUCCUGACCAGAUGCCCGAACCACCUCAUCUGGCUCCUCUUCAUGUGGGGAAGUGGCUGGGAGAGGGAAAUCUGGGCUUAUCUGCUUAGGCUGCUGCCCCCAUGACCCGACCUUGGAUAAGCGGAAGAAAAUGGAUGGUUGGAUGGACAGCCUGGUUUCAAAGAAUAAUCUGGAAAAAAAAGAAUUGCUGCGUGAAUUGCAACAGCAGUAACAAGUGCAUUUUAUUUUUUCCAUUUAAUCAAUUUCAAACAGAAACCAUAUGAAUGUCAUGCCAUGAAAAUCUAACUUUUCUGAAUGUUGAGACAAAGUAAAAUUGCACAAUAAAAAUUGCAGGACCAAACCAUUUUGCAGUGAUAGACAAGAACGCUGUUGACAGUCCAACGUUGAUACACUUUAGAGCUUAUCUUAUUAGCAAUUUUAGAGUCGUAUCAACAUGGAAAGUAUUAAAAGCCAUAGAAAAGUAAUAGAAAUAAAUAUAACAAGUCAUUGUGGAUUAAAUACACUUGUGAAUUGAUCACUAACAAAAAGUCAACACCAAAGAAAGCAAAUGAGAUGUCUUUAACCAACCCAACUUGAUAAACCAAAAUCAAAAGAAGCCCUCAUUAGUACUUUCCAAAGGCAUAUCUAGCAUUUAUAAUAUUGACUCUUUAUAUGAAAAAUAUUUAUCAAACACUAUCAUCAAAUAGCUCUAUUGUAUUCUGAAUAUAUAAAAAACAAUCUGAAAAAAGGGUAGAAAAUAGAAGCCAAGACCAAAAAAAUCUGUUUCAAUGAGGACGGACACAUCAGAGGGAAGGCGUAGCGUCGGCCUAAGUGGGUGUCAUAGUUGUGUCCAUGCGGUGGAUUUUAUGACAUGCUGGGAAAUGUCUGGGCAACUACGCUGGUAAAAGCUGACAUGACAUGUCAUGCCUGUUUGUUGUUUUCAGUCUGUGUCCACAUCAAAAUCGUGUCUGUUAGCGUUCAGUGCAACUUUACAACCAUUUCCACAUUACACAAGAGUAGAUAACACAAAUUGUGAAAUAAUCCACAUUGCAAACAGCUCCACAUUGCACUUGACUGAUUUGUGAAUGCAGUGCUGUUUAGUUAACAUGCCAACUUUUAUAACAUGUGUAUUGCCUUG